AGAGGAUAAAGUUCUUAGUUGGCAUCAGUACAGGCUGUUCUCAAGCCAAGGCCAAGUGAGUGCCCUUAAAAUGCCAGACAGAGAGGAGGUAGAAAGGGUUUUGGCAGAUAUCUUGUUAAAUUAAAUCUCUAAACAAACACAACAAUAAAUUCCACUUGAUAAGUGACGCAUCUAUAGCAAACUCCAGAAAGGUUGUUUGGAACCAGCAGCAUGGUUCUCCAGUGUUUGCAGAGCAAAAGACAGGGAGUGUGAAAUAAUCUGUGUGGGUGGACUAAUUGACUACUUGCUUGACUUCCCUGAAACAAUUGAUCCAGCCUAGCAGCAAGUCAACAGCUAACUCUGGGACGAAGGAGGGCUUUGUUUUCCCCCUGUUGUAGACACAAUCCAUGAGGGCCUUAAACAUGUCUCUGCAUCGUGCCA
rnacentral:lncRNA from 1 species